AGUGAACGCUGGCGGUAGGCCUAACACAUGCAAGUCGAACGGCAGCACCGUAAGAGCUUGCUCUUACGGGUGGCGAGUGGCGGACGGGUGAGGAAUACAUCGGAAUCUACUUUUUCGUGGGGGAUAACGUAGGGAAACUUACGCUAAUACCGCAUACGACCUACGGGUGAAAGCAGGGGAUCUUCGGACCUUGCGCGAUUGAAUGAGCCGAUGUCGGAUUAGCUAGUUGGCGGGGUAAAGGCCCACCAAGGCGACGAUCCGUAGCUGGUCUGAGAGGAUGAUCAGCCACACUGGAACUGAGACGCGGUCCAGACUCCUACGGGAGGCAGCAGUGGGGAAUAUUGGACAAUGGGCGCAAGCCUGAUCCAGCCAUACCGCGUGGGUGAAGAAGGCCUUCGGGUUGUAAAGCCCUUUUGUUGGGAAAGAAAAGCAGCAGGUUAAUACCCCGCUGUUCUGACGGUACCCAAAGAAUAAGCACCGGCUAACUUCGUG
rnacentral:rRNA from 1 species